UCCUAAAUAUCCGACCCAAAUACUCCAAUAGAUGAUGCUUACAACUGAACGAACUUAUUCACUUGCGUUUCCCCUAUUCCAAUCAAAACCCUAAUCUCGAACCGUAACAUGAACACGGGAAAUCAAUGCAUCUUCUGUUGAUCAUCUCUAUCUCCAAUCUUCUUCCCUGCUACGUUAUCAAGGUGUGUUUAUUGUUGAGAUUCUUGACUUAAAAGAAAAACCUUAACCAAAAGAAUGUUUACUUUUUUCUGAAUCGUAUUUUGGGCUUUGUAUGAGACGAUGAUAAUAGCGAUUUGAUGAUUACGAUGACGGUUCUGACGUAAUCGCAAAUGAAGACGAGCAGUUGGAUUUUGAAUCAAUAUUCUAUUCAUUCAGAGAUUAAUCGCCUGGUGACUAUUUGGAGCUCAAAGAGGGGAAGCCUAGCAAAUUGUAAAGGGGUAAACUUCUUAGUAGCUACCCUAGCUGACUUCUUGAUCAUCUACAGAACACUAAAGGAUUUAUCUUUAUGAACCUCAAGGUAGGUAUACUGCAGUGUAAUCCGAAUAGUUGGUGAAACCAGAGUAUGACGUAAUCAUGUCGAAAGCUCAUCCAAACCAAACAAUUUUAUGAUUUAGGUCAUCUGUUUACCACUCAGUUUAGCAUACAAUAUUCGUGACUUUUGCAUGGUGGUAGAUUGGUCCCUAAUUAAGAGAGAAAUAGAUGUUUAUUAGCUCAGGUGGUAUGACUGCUCUUUGUUCAAAGCACUUGAUUUUUUUAAGAAGGGAUCAUUGUUUAAUACCUUUGAAAAAAUGGGUCUGUGUUUCUUCAAUGUAGUUGAAAAUAACCAUUUUGAUUUUUUUGUCCAGUGAAUAGUUCAUACAGAAGUUAAAUCUGGUACUUUUCUUUGUCCACAUAAGAUCUCUAAGGGUUAACACAUAAAUUUCAACCUUGCCACGGUAAGUAAUGCUUUACUUUUAUUUGUAAACUAAGCUUUAUCUAACUCAUUGUAUACUUCAUCGUUGUUACUGACUGUUUGUUAUUGUUAUUAGACUUCAUUUACAAGCAUAAUUAGACUACACAUGUUCAACAAUGAGGGCAUCAAAUAUUGUUUUUUCCUGCUUUAUUGCCCGAUAACCUGAAUUUGUAACACGCUGAUCAAUGGGCUAAAUUAAAGCGACCCGGUUAUCCGUCAAGUCAUUCUUGCGUUUACAAUUCACUUAUUCCUUUCCUUCCCAAUACGAAGCCUUAUACUGGCGACUUGAUAAACAAUUCACACCAACCGAUCGAUCAUGAAUGGACUUGAAUCAUGUCCGAUUGACUCAGAGUUUUGAUGGAAAUGACGAUUCAAAGAAGAAAUUUUCAGUCGGUAACGAUGGUACAUGGAAGGAGGAAGGUGUUAUUCUCAGAUUUUGUUGGUCUAAGUCAAUCAAAGGUUCUUUAUAUGGCUGAUUGAAAAUUUGUUAGGUUCUUGAAGUUCUUGGUUGAUUUGGGAGGAGAUUCUUGGUCGAAUCAAGCAGAUUGUGAUUGAUUGGGUGAAACAACUUAUUCGUAUACGAGGGUACAUAAAUAAUAUGGUUGAAGAUGCGUAUGCAGUCGGUCAUAUAUACUUUUGGUUCAUAUCAGCUUGGGUUCAUGGUCCUGGGCAGAUAUUGACACCUUAUGUGUGCGGCCUUCUUAUGUGAAUCGAGAUGUAUAGAUAUGAACCCAAGUUUUAUUUAAAUGACAAUGGUCUUAGUUUGUUACUUCUAAUAACCUUCGGAUUCCAUAAUUUCUGCAAAAACCGGUUUGAAUCUGCAUUCAGAAAAUUCCCACUACAGGAUGCAAUGAUUAAGGAUACACUGGAAAGAGCAACGGAGCCGCAAUUGAAUUUGAAAGAGUAUUUGAAGGAUGCGUAUACGCACCCGGUUUUUAACGGGGGAGAAGUUGAAUUGAUGGAUAUUGAUGAAGAAGUUGAUGAGUGUCAUUUAGUUGCUACAAAGAGGAGUUCGUGCAAGGGAAGUCAAGCGGGAAUUAGCGAUGGCUGUCCUAAAGAUAGGACUGGCAUUUAUGCUGUGUAAAGAUAGAAAAACUGGAACUUUUUUUUUGUAUUUCAAAUGUAAUCUUUGAUACUAUGAUAAUAUGAGUGACUUGGAGACAAAGUUUAUGUAAGGCAGCGGAUGGAUAAAUACUAUCAAGAUACAUCUGGUUAUCUCCA